UAGGCCUUUAAUCCUAGCAUUUGGGAGGCAGAGCCAGGUGGAUUUCCGAGUUUGAACCAGCCUGGUCUAUAGAGUGUUUCAGGACAGCCAGGGAAAUCCAGUCUCAGGGAAAGAAAAAAAAAAAAAAAAAAAAAAAAAGACAACCCAAUUUAAAAAUGGGCAAAGAAGAUCAGUUGGACAUUAGUUUAUGUUGACUUUAAUAAAAACAAUUGUUAGGCACUUAGCAAUUCAAAGGGUAUGGGACAGAGACAGUCUGACAACGCUACGGGCUUUAUUGUAGAUACAGAUUAGGUUUGCCAUAAGUUUACCAAAUCAAGAAGAGUUCUAGCCCAGCAUUGUAGUACAUACCUUUACUUCCAGCUCUCAGGAAGCAGAGGCAGGUGGAUUUCUGUGACUUGGAGGCCAGUUUGGUCUAUACAGCAGCUCCAGGCUAGUCAGGGAGGCACAGUGAGACUCAGUCUCAAAAAAUUCUAGAAAGAGUAUUCACCUCCAUAUACCAAAAAUUAUGAAAAGAGAUGCUGGGGAUCUACAGCAACCUUAUGAAAUAUAUUGUUCACUGAAUAGAAAGUACAAAGACAGCACAUUUGAAAAAGGAUACUAGAAAGAUGUUUGGAUUAGAAAAAGCACACACAAUCACAAGAAUAUUCCAAGAAUGAAAACAAAAUUAAAAAGAAUCAAAAUCCUGAAGCUGCAACAAAGAUUUCCAAGAUGAGAACAUGUCACAUAGACAUGGUGUCACACACUUAUGAUCCAUCCCAGCACUGGAGAGGUUGAGGCCUGACUAUGUGGGAUGCUGUCUUACACCCUUUUGGGCUGGUUGAGGAUACUCAGUGGCAGAGCACUCAGGUGGUAGUGCACACCUUUAACCCUAGCACUUGGAAGGCAGAGGCUGGAAGAUCUCUGAGUUUGAGUUCACCCUGGUCUACAGAAUGAGUUCCAGGACAGCCAGGGCUACUCUGUCUUGGCAGGGGUAGGUGGGUGGUGGUGGUGGUAUGAGGCCCUGUGUUCAUUCUCAAGUACCAUGGUGCAGGGGAGAGACAGAUGGACAUUUCAUUAAAAUAUAUUUUAACCCCCAUCAAAUACAAAUAGGCAAAGGAUUUGAAUAAAGAUAGACCGAUAUAUAAAACACACAGAUGGUUCACAAAGCUCACACCUUAACUCCAGAACUAAGGAAACAAAGGAAGAGAUUUCCUCUGCUGAGUCGAGGCCUACCAGAGCUACACAAUUCUUUAUUUAAAAAAAAAAAAAGCCUACAAGCAGCAGUAAAUCUAAGAUCCAUUCGAGAAAUACAAACCAAAGUCACAGUAAGACACCAGGCCACACCCUCUAGGAGAGUUACAGUAAGUCUAAAUAAGAAUGUAGAGAAACCAGAACCUCACUCAUCGAGGGUGGGAAAGUAAUAUGUCACCAACUGCUCUGUAAAACAUUAAGGCAGGCCCUUAGUAGUCUAAACAAUGACUAUCAUUGGUCCAGCAAUUCUAUCUCCUAGAAGUUAUCUAUACUUAAGAACACGAAGUGUAUGACUCCACAUGCCCAGGGAUGGAGUCAGAUGACAAUUCUAAGUGCUUGGGAGCAUACUUCAAGAAAACAAGAGCCUGUGACCUCAGUUUCUUUAGAACUUGGAACUGUUCUUGGAAAAUAUUUCAUGCUCUGCCUAGGUGUAGGAUAGUGAAUUUACUUCAGAUUAUUCAUUAUUGUUUGUUUCUGUUAUUCUGGCUUUUUUGUUGUUGUUUUUUGAGACAGGGUUUCUCUGUGUAGCCCUGGCUGUCCUUGAACUCAGAAAUCUGCCUGCCUCCCAAGUGCUGGUAUUAAAGGCGUGUGCCACCACGCCUGGCUCUGUUAUUCUAUUAUUAAAUGUUUAACUAUCCUUUAUAUGCUUCUGGGAAAACAAAUUAAUUUAUGCAAUGUGAACACUCACACAUUCGUGGCUUGUUCUUGUGAUCGCAUAAACAACUCAAGAGAACCUUACUCAGGUGAGCUUUCUUAACCCCCAUACAUUUUGGUCCCAUCUGAGGUUCUGAGUAAAGCUGGCUAUUGCAUGAGAGUUUAGUUGGCCUCUUCUAUUGACUCCAUUUUCCUAGGUCCCACCACUUCUAGAGACGUUGACUGAAAACUAACAAGAUAAUAAUUUCAACACUUGGGAAGCUUAGUCAAGGGGCUACUAUAAGUUCAUAGCCAGCCUGGGCUACAUAGCAAAUGCCAGGUCAGCCACAGUUAUAUAGCAAGAGCCUCACUCAAAUAAGCAAAAUCCCAAAAUCAAACAAAAAAACUAGCCAGGUGAUUGUCAUUGAGAGCAUGAGGACCUGAGUUCCACUCCCAGCACCCAAAUAAAAAGCCGAACAUGGUGGCAUACGUGGUGGCAUAUGCUGUCAUGGCAGCAAUGAGGUGGUAAAUCCCUGGGGUUUGUCAGCCAGUCUAGGAUAGUCAGAAAGCCAUACAUCCUGGUGAGAUCUCCUUUAAAAACAAAACCAAAAAACCAGGGCGGGGUUGGCCAUGUGCCUCAGUGGCUACGAGCACUGGAAGUCUUUUUAGUUUGAGCACUCACAGGGCAACUCACAAUUACAACUCCAGUCCCAGGGACCAGAUACCCUCUUCUGACUCCCUAGGCACUACACAUACGGUGGCACACGCAUACUUAAAGGCAGAAUACCCACCUACACACAAGACAUAAAUUUAAAAAAUAAAGACAGGGUUUGUGUGGCCCACACCUUUAAUACCAGCACUCAGGAGGUAGAGGCAAGUGGGCCUCUGUGAGCUCCAGCCCAGACUGGUUUUGAGUUCCAGGACAUCGAGGACUACAAAGAAAAAUCCUUGAAUCUCCCAAAACAAAACAAACACAAGUUCUAAGACAGUCAGAGCUACAGUGAGAAAACCUGUCUGGAAACAAAAUUUAAGGGAGAAAAAUAGAGGAUUUGACUGUCUGGUGAUAAAGUCUCAUUAUGUGGUCCUAGCUGUCUUGGAACUCCAUACAUAGACCAGGCUGGCCUCAAACUCUCAGAGAUCCACCUCCCUCUGCCUCUCAAGUGGUAGGGGAAUAAAGGAGUUUGCAACCACUGCCCAGCUGUUUGUUUGAAGUCCUUUUAAAACUUUUUGAUGACUGAUGUUUGAUUUUACAUUUUCCAUCCUAAUUCCAUGUAUAAUUUUCUUACCUUUUCAGAUUCCAUUAAAUUAUUUCACCCAUGAUUUUCUUAGUUAUUUUCCUAUGGGUUAAACUGUUUUUCUUUUAUUUGUGCUGGGGACUACACCCAGGGCAUCAGAACACAAGCCAGGUAAAUCCUGUACUACCAAGCAUGCACUCAGUUCUUCUGUUGAGAGUAGAGUAAUUAGAUAGGGUUACUUUACAUAACCUAGGCUACCCUUGAUCUCAAGAUCCUCCUGCCUCAGCCUCCCAAAUACCACAACCAGCUAGCAUACAUGAUUUUUUCUUGUAUUUUCAUUAGGUGCAUGUGUAAGUGCAGGUGCCUACAGAGGCCAGAAGAGUGCAAUCACCUGGAUCUGGAGUUUUUAGGCAUUGUGAGUCACCUGAUGAGUGCUGAGAACUCAACUCUGGUGGCCUGCAAGAGAUGUAUAUCCUCUUAACUGGAGCCAUCUCUCCAGCCCCUUGUUUUUAACUUUUUAUUCAUUCUUUGUGAAUUUCACAUCAUGUACCCCAAUCCCACUCAUCUCCCUGUCACUCCCUAUCUGUCUUCUGCUCUUGCAACCUACCCUCAAAAUAAGCACACACACACACCAAACCAUCUUGUUGAAGUUGUAGUGUGUCACAUAGUAUAUAUACCCCUUUGUCUACUUCCAAAUCUUCACAGUAAUCACUCAGCUUCUGCUGCACUAUCGAUAUUGGAAUAUAGACUCCUAUAUCCUGUUGUUGCUCUGUGGAAACCCUGCAACUUUGGAUCUGCAGGACCAACACCAGCAGUUCAUAGAUGGGGAAGAUGAAAGCUCCUAACUCAAAGUCCUGGAUCUGGGCCUGGAUGUUAGCUGAGUUGGUCAGCCCACCAGCUCCAGCACUGGCCCAGCUAGCUUAUCCAAUGCUGCAGUUGGCAAGAGGCAGGACUACCUUUCCCGCCUGCCCAAGGUGGAGAAGGGUUUGGGGUUUGUGUACAGACUGCACCUCAGGGUGGACCAGUGGCAGGGCCAGUUCUCCCGCGUGCCCUAGUAUGUAUCUUUGAAACAAAAAUUUGACUACUUAAUAAUUCAUAUUACCAUCUUUAUUUUGCCAGGUUCAUUGUUCACCAUUUAUUUUCCUUUAUUUGUAGCACUGGGGAAUGAAACUGAAGGCCUCAUUUAUGCUAGGCUCAGAGAAACACAACAAACUACACUUGCUGCAUGCCUCUUUGGAGACAUAAUCCUGGCAACAACUCACAUAGCCCUUGGAGCAAGGGAAGAGCAGCACUUCCUACAGAAGAUGCCAGGAUCAUUACUGCCAACAGCAAUCAGGAUCCAUUCCUAGUCCACGAGAAGCUGGACUUCUAAAAAAGACUUGAAGAUGCAGGGCUCCUAGAAGGUAGAUUGUUUUUUAUUUUCUUCUCAUUAUAGGAUAGCCAGAAUUAUCUCUCCAGCUCCUCGUUCUAACGUAGAUUUAAGAGUAUUAUUUUUUCUAAAGAUUGCCUGAACUUACAUAUUUUCAAACAACUGCAUGUUCAAAAAUGUCUGUUGAAUUCAUAUUUGAGUAGGAACUUUAGUCUGAAUCAAAUUUUCAGACUUUUGUGUUUCUAGUCAAUAAUCUAUAUUGAAAUAGGGCUUCACUGUUGCAGGAAAUUAAUUUUUCCCUCUUGUGAAUACUGAACAGAUAGCCAGGCAUUGUAAGUACCUCAUGCCUGUAAUCUUAGCUACUCAAGAGGCAGAGCGGUAGCUGGGCGUGGUGGCACACGCCUUUAAUC
rnacentral:lncRNA from 1 species